rnacentral:rRNA from 1 species
AGCUCGUAGUUGGAUUUUGGGUCGGGGGCACCGGUCCGCCGUUCCGGUGUGCACUGGUGGCCCCUUCCUUUCUGCCGGGGACGUGCGUCGCACUUAAUUGGGUGGCGUUCGGAGUCGGCGUUGUUACUUUGAAAAAAUUAGAGUGUUCAAAGCAAGCCAUCGCUCUGAAUACAUUAGCAUGGAAUAACAUGAUAGGACUCUGGUCUUAUUUUGUUGGUUUCCGAGACUGGAGUAAUGAUUAAGAGGGACAGUCGGGGGCAUCCGUAUUUCAUUGUCAGAGGUGAAAUUCUUGGAUUUAUGAAAGACGAACUUCUGCGAAAGCAUUUGCCAAGGAUGUUUUCAUUAAUCAAGAACGAAAGUUGGGGGCUCGAAGAUGAUCAGAUACCAUCCUAGUCUCAACCAUAAACGAUGCCGACUAGGGAUUGGCGGAUGUUCCUUAGAUGACUCCGCCAGCACCUUAUGAGAAAUCAUUAAGUUUUUGGGUUCCGGGGGGAGUAUGGUCUCCAAGGUGAGGCCUAGAGGAAUUGACGCAAG